rnacentral:tRNA from 1 species
GGUAAGGUGGCCGAGUAGGCGGUGGAUUGUAGACCCAUAUACGGGGGUGUAAGUCCCCUUCUUACCA